rnacentral:rRNA from 1 species
UACGGGGGGGGCGAGCGUUGUUCGGAAUUACUGGGCGUAAAGGGUUUGUAGGUGGUCUGCUAAGUCAGACGUGAAAUCCCUCAGCUUAACUGGGGAACUGCGUCUGAUACUGGCGGACUUGAGGACAGGAGAGGAACGCGGAAUUCCAGGUGUAGCGGUGAAAUGCGUAGAUAUCAGGAGGAACACCGGUGGCGAAGGCGGGUCUCUGGGCCGAUACUGACGCUGAGGUGCGAAAGCGUGGGGAGCAAACAGG